rnacentral:precursor_RNA from 1 species
GCGUUGCUGUUAGUUUGUGGGGUGGUGCUGACGCUUGCUUGCGCCAACCCACUAACUGACGGGACUGUUG